rnacentral:rRNA from 1 species
UACGUAGGGCGCAAGCGUUGUCCGGAAUUAUUGGGCGUAAAGAGCUCGUAGGUGGCUUGUUGCGUCUGCCGUGAAAGCCCGUGGCUUAACUACGGGUCUGCGGUGGAUACGGGCAGGCUAGAGGCUGGUAGGGGCAAGCGGAAUUCCUGGUGUAGCGGUGAAAUGCGCAGAUAUCAGGAGGAACACCGGUGGCGAAGGCGGGACUCUGGGCCGAUACUGACGCUGAGGAGCGAAAGCGUGGGGAGCGAACAGG